rnacentral:rRNA from 1 species
UUUAAUUCGAUGCAACGCGAAGAACCUUACCUACUCUUGACAUCCAGAGAAUUCGCUAGAGAUAGCUUAGUGCCUUCGGGAACUCUGAGACAGGUGCUGCAUGGCUGUCGUCAGCUCGUGUUGUGAAAUGUUGGGUUAAGUCCCGCAACGAGCGCAACCCUUAUCCUUUGUUGCCAGCACGUAAUGGUGGGAACUCAAAGGAGACUGCCGGUGAUAAACCGGAGGAAGGUGGGGAUGACGUCAAGUCAUCAUGGCCCUUAUGAGUAGGGCUACACACGUGCUACAAUGGCGUAUACAAAGAGAAGCGAACUCGCGAGAGCCAGCGGACCUCAUAAAGUACGUCGUAGUCCGGAUCGGAGUCUGCAACUCGACUCCGUGAAGUCGGAAUCGCUAGUAAUCGUAGAUCAGAAUGCUACGGUGAAUACGUUCCCGGGCCUUGUACACACCGCC